CUGCGGCCGUGAUAGUAGCGGUUACCCCACAACGAGGGAGCGCAACGCAGUGGAGCGACCGAGUGAGGAGUAUGAGCGGAUAGCACGAAUUGUC
rnacentral:misc_RNA from 1 species